GAUGAACGCUAGCGGCAGGCUUAAUACAUGCAAGUCGAGGGGCAGCAUGAGUGUAGCAAUACAUUUGAUGGCGACCGGCAAACGGGUGCGGAACACGUACACAACCUUCCUAUAAGUGGGGAAUAGCCCAGAGAAAUUUGGAUUAAUACCCCGUAACAUAAUGAUGUGGCAUCACAUUAUUAUUAUAGCUACGGCGCUUAUUGAUGGGUGUGCGGCUGAUUAGAUAGUUGGCGGGGUAACGGCCCACCAAGUCUACGAUCAGUAGCUGAUGUGAGAGCAUGAUCAGCCACACGGGCACUGAGACACGGGCCCGACUCCUACGGGAGGCAGCAGUAAGGAAUAUUGGUCAAUGGACGCAAGUCUGAACCAGCCAUGCCGCGUGAAGGAUUAAGGUCCUCUGGAUUGUAAACUUCUUUUAUAUGGGACGAAAAAAGGGAAUUCUUUCUCACUUGACGGUACCAUAUGAAUAAGCACCGGCUAACUCCGUGCCAGCCGCCGCUGUAACAC
rnacentral:rRNA from 1 species